rnacentral:rRNA from 1 species
AGCCAGACUCCUACGGGAGGCAGCAGUGGGGAAUAUUGCACAAUGGGGGAAACCCUGAUGCAGCGACGCCGCGUGAGCGAUGAAGUAUUUCGGUAUGUAAAGCUCUAUCAGCAGGGAAGAAGAUGACGGUACCUGACUAAGAAGCCCCGGCUAACUACGUGCCAGCAGCCGCGGUAAUACGUAGGGGGCAAGCGUUAUCCGGAUUUACUGGGUGUAAAGGGAGCGUAGGCGGCGAUGCAAGCCAGAUGUGAAAGCCCGGGGCUCAACCCCGGGACUGCAUUUGGAACUGUGUGGCUGGAGUGUCGGAGAGGCAGGCGGAAUUCCUAGUGUAGCGGUGAAAUGCGUAGAUAUUAGGAGGAACACCAGUGGCGAAGGCGGCCUGCUGGACGAUGACCGACGUUGAGGCUCGAAAGCGUGGGGAGCAAACAGGAUUAGAUACCCGGGUAA